UACGUAGGGUGCGAGCGUUAAUCGGAAUUACUGGGCGUAAAGCGUGCGCAGGCGGUUCGUUGUGUCGGCGGUGAAAGCCCCGGGCUUAACCUGGGAAUGGCCGUUGAAACUGGCGAACUGGAGUGUGGCAGAGGGGGGUGGAAUUCCGCGUGUAGCAGUGAAAUGCGUAGAUAUCUGGAGGAACACCGGUGGCGAAGGCGGCAUCCUGGACCAAUACUGACACUGAGGAGCGAAAGCCAGGGGAGCAAACGGG
rnacentral:rRNA from 1 species